AUUGAACGCUGGCGGCAGGCCUAACACAUGCAAGUCGAGCGGAUGAAGGGAGCUUGCUCCUGGAUUCAGCGGCGGACGGGUGAGUAAUGCCUAGGAAUCUGCCUGGUAGUGGGGGAUAACGUCCGGAAACGGGCGCUAAUACCGCAUACGUCCUGAUGGAGAAAGUGGGGGAUCUUCGGACCUCACGCUAUCAGAUGAGCCUAGGUCGGAUUAGCUAGUUGGUGGGGUAAAGGCCUACCAAGGCGACGAUCCGUAACUGGUCUGAGAGGAUGAUCAGUCACACUGGAACUGAGACACGGUCCAGACUCCUACGGGAGGCAGCAGUGGGGAAUAUUGGACAAUGGGCGAAAGCCUGAUCCAGCCAUGCCGCGUGUGUGAAGAAGGUCUUCGGAUCGUAAAGCUCUUUAAGUUGGGAGGAAGGGCAGUGAGUUAAUACCUUGCUGUCUUGACGGUACCAACAGAAUAAGCAACGGCUAACUUCGUG
rnacentral:rRNA from 1 species